CGAAGGGUGCAAGCGUUACUCGGAAUCACUGGGCGUAAAGCGUGCGUAGGCGGUUCGUUAAGUCUGCUGUGAAAGCCCUGGGCUCAACCUGGGAACUGCAGUGGAUACUGGCGGGCUAGAGUGUGAUAGAGGAUGGUGGAAUUCCCGGUGUAGCGGUGAAAUGCGUAGAGAUCGGGAGGAACACCAGUGGCGAAGGCGGCCAUCUGGAUCAACACUGACGCUGAGGCACGAAAGCGUGGGGAGCAAACAGGAUUAGAUACCCUGGUAGUCCACGCCCUAAACGAUGCGAACUGGACGUUGGUUGCAACUUGGCAAUCAGUGUCGAAGCUAACGCGUUAAAGUUCGCCGCCUGGGGAGUACGGUCGCAAGACUG
rnacentral:rRNA from 1 species